AAAGUGCUCCCGGAUGCCAUUAUUCCCCUGUUGUCCCCCUCCCCGCACUCCUCUCUCUCCUCCCCGCGUCACCCCUGCUGCCCCGCCGCCUCCUGCCCGCUCUGCUACGCCGCCGUCGCGCUCCUGCCGCCCGUGCCCUCGCCGCUCCCAUCCGACGGAGCAAUCGGCGCCGGCUAGCCCGGACCAGCUCAGCCCCGCCGUGAGGUGAUCGGUGGACUGCGAGAGGGAGAGCGCCUCCGCCUCAGAUCCACCGAACAAGUCUCUGAGCCCAAUCUCCCCCCACCCAUGCGCCCGCCGACGAUGCUCCGCUGGGCCACGGUGGCGCUCGUGGCGACGCUCCUCGCCGCCACGCCGGCCACCGCCUUCUACCUCCGCGGCGGAUCUCGACAGCCAGAUCCAGCGUGCCGCGUGCGUUUGUUCGUUGGGAGCUGCCUGUGUCUAUCGAGUUAAUUGCAAUAAGGGUUCGGGAUCUAGACAUGCAUCCUGCUGGCUGUUUUGCUUCUGUGUGGAGUAGUGUGAUCUUACGAAUUGCAUUUGGCUAGGUCACUUGUUUCAAAUCUCUCUGUGUUGAAGAAAAAUGAAUAUCCUCUGAUCUAAGCGGCGACGAUAAAUGCUCUAUAGUGCGCCUUACGUUUGAUUAACGUUUGUCUAAUCGAAUAUGUGCUGUGAGUAUGCUACAGUAUACCCUCUUACAUUCAAAAUAUUCCGUUAUUUAUGUUUUUGUCCACUUGGUUCCGGAAGGCGAUUAUAUGAAAUCAUAUAGUAUAUGGAGUGCACGUGCACAUGCAUGGGGCAAAUCAAUCAUUGUUUGAUGAAAGACUAAAAUUUAGCCCAUAGAUCCAAACAGCUCAGUGGGACUAAAAUUUAAGAGCUAAAAUUUAGGAGCUAAAAUUUAACCCAUAAAUUACUGAUCCAAAUAAACACCGUCUUAGUGUACGAGAUGUACAUGUCCAAGAGACCACGACCAGUAGUUUAGUUCCGGUACGGUCGGGCGCUGUUUUGCAGGAGCCGAGUCACGUGCCACUUGCAAAUCUUUGCAUUCCAGAAUCCAGAGUCCAGAUAAGAUUAGACAGAGAGAAUUUAUCGUGCGCAGAGUUUUACAUUUCUCUCCGACUUGUUUUAUUUUAUCUGACCUGCAGGUAACAGUAAGACAGGAACUUAACAAAAAAAAAA
rnacentral:lncRNA from 1 species